rnacentral:lncRNA from 1 species
GGGAGCCAUAGGGAGCCUUAGAACCUGAAAGGGAAAGGGAGUAGGAAGCUUUCUACUGAGAUACAAGCAACAGCAAAGAAUCAAGAUGCCACAGCAUGUAAAACCAAAGCAAAACCAGCAAAAUAAACUAAAAGAACAACAAUAAAUUCUUAAAGUAUUGGGGGGGGGAAUAGCAAUCUUAGUAGUUCAGCUACUCAGGAACCCCGGGUUCAAAUCUCCACUUGGCCAUGAAAGUCACCCAGUGGUCUCCAGCUAUAUAUAAUUUUAUCAGCCUGCUCUACCUCAUUGUGCUGUUGAGCAGAUAAAGAGAAAAGAAGGAAGAGGGCCAGGCAAUGCUACCUUGAGUUCAUUGGAAGAAAAACAAACUAUAAAUAUGACAAAUGCCUACAUACAUAAAUAACUUUAUACAAGAUGAGCAUCUCUUGAGCAUUAUGCUAUUGAAUAUCACCCUUGAAAAGAAUGCACGCUAGUCAUGAUAGCUAUACAUUAUCUCUGGCAUCACAGUCAGCGUGCUUGUGCAUUUCCCAUGAGCAUCAUUCUAGUAGAGUAGACUAUGAAAAUUUUGAACUAGAUAAGCCACUGGUCUGAUCUGGCAGGGUUCUUCUUAUAUUCUUACACUUUCUGAAACUACAUGAUGGAAGAAAAGCGUGAUACAAAUACAUGUACUACAUGAAUGAAAACUCUUCUCCUGUUUCCAGUCUGUUGUGGUAUAGCUCAGAAUUCUGCCACCAGACUCUGAGCAAUGGGUGCAAUGCCCCUAAUCCCCAGACAUUCUAUUAAAAGAUCAGAGAACUGGAACCUUGUUUGGGAUAAACUCUGUGGCCUCCCCCACCUUGUUGUCACCUAGGGAAUUACGGUAUACCUCUAGACCUUUCUUCUGUCCCUUUUUAACAUCCCAACCUGCCUGAGAUUCCAGCUAGCAGGAGCUAUCCACAGCAGCUUCUGGGCUCUGUGUGCUGUGUCAUUCCACAUUCCCCUGUUGGGUCAUGCCCUGGGAACUUGAAAUCACAAUGAGAUGCCAUAAACUUUACAACUUAUACACUUUAGACCAACUGUCUUGUGGAUCACUUCGUCCUGGUUCACUUAUUUACAUGGUUAUCUCUCAUAUGCUUACCUGUUCCUGAGUACAUAGAAGACGCAAUUCUCUUGUGAAAUAAAACUGAAGUCAGGUCAAUGUUCCAUAUGGACUUGAUUACUGGAAACAACGAAACUAUCAGUCAUAUGUUAUAUUCCCAGUCACCACCACUUAUGGACUGCUGUUAGCUAUGUGAAAGAUAAUCAGGUUUGUGGCAAACAGCUGAAAUCUGCAAAGUCUCCACUUGAAUAUAUAAAACUUUUUGCCUGUACUGUUUUCCUGGGCAACCAAUUUACAUCAAUUUUUUUUGCAAAUAUAAAUGUGUUGUGCCACCCACAGCCUGUGUGAGUUUGCUGGAGUAAAGUGACUUAGUGACGGCCCCUUUGAGAUGGAAG